rfam:Schistosoma margrebowiei strain Zambia genome assembly, scaffold: SMRZ_scaffold0000110
AUCCAGCUGACGAGUCCCAAAUAGGAUGAAACGUGCAUCAUUGGAU